rnacentral:rRNA from 1 species
UACAGAGGGUGCGAGCGUUAAUCGGAAUUACUGGGCGUAAAGCGCACGUAGUCGGCUUUGCAAGUCGGUUGUGAAAUCCCCGGGCUCAACCUGGGAACUGCAUCCGAGACUGCAUUGCUAGAGUAUGGGAGAGGGAAGCGGAAUUUCUGGUGUAGCAGUGAAAUGCGUAGAUAUCAGAAGGAACAUCAGUGGCGAAGGCGGCUUCCUGGACCAAUACUGACGAUCAGGUGCGAAAGCGUGGGGAGCAACCAGG